CUUUAAACCAAGAAGGUUGCACCAUCAGCAGACAGUGAAAACCGGCGAUGUCCGAAUGGGGAAACCCAGUGCAAUUCGUUGCACUAUCGUUAACUGAAUACAUAGGUUAACGAGGCGAACCGGGGGAACUGAAACAUCUAAGUACCCCGAGGAAAAGAAAUCAACCGAGAUUCCCCCAGUAGCGGCGAGCGAACGGGGAGCAGCCCAGAGUCUGAAUCAGCUUGUGUGUUAGUGGAACGGUCUGGAAAGUCCGACGGUACAGGGUGAUAGUCCCGUACACCAAAAUGCACAGGUUGUGAACUCGAAGAGUAGGGCGGGACACGUGGUAUCCUGUCUGAAUAUGGGGGGACCAUCCUCCAAGGCUAAAUACUCCUGACUGACCGAUAGUGAACCAGUACCGUGAGGGAAAGGCGAAAAGAACCCCGGCGAGGGGAGUGAAAAAGAACCUGAAACCGUGUACGUACAAGCAGUGGGAGCACCUUCGGGUGUGACUGCGUACCUUUUGUAUAAUGGGUCAGCGACUUAUAUUCUGUAGCAAGGUUAACCGUAUAGGGGAGCCGCAGGGAAACCGAGUCUUAACUGGGCGUUAAGUUGCAGGGUAUAGACCCGAAACCCGGUGAUCUAGCCAUGGGCAGGUUGAAGGUUGGGUAACACUAACUGGAGGACCGAACCGACUAAUGUUGAAAAAUUAGCGGAUGACUUGUGGCUGGGGGUGAAAGGCCAAUCAAACCGGGAGAUAGCUGGUUCUCCCCGAAAGCUAUUUAGGUAGCGCCUCGUGAACUCAUCUUCGGGGGUAGAGCACUGUUUCGGCUAGGGGGUCAUCCCGACUUACCAACCCGAUGCAAACUACGAAUACCGAAGAAUGUUAUCACGGGAGACACACGGCGGGUGCUAACGUCCGUCGUGAAGAGGGAAACAACCCAGACCGCCAGCUAAGGUCCCAAAGUCAUGGUUAAGUGGGAAACGAUGUGGGAAGGCACAGACAGCCAGGAUGUUGGCUUAGAAGCAGCCAUCAUUUAAAGAAAGCGUAAUAGCUCACUGGUCGAGUCGGCCUGCGCGGAAGAUGUAACGGGGCUAAACCAUGCACCGAAGCUGCGGCAGCGACACGAUGUGUUGUUGGGUAGGGGAGCGUUCUGUAAGCCUGCGAAGGUGACCUGUGAGGGUUGCUGGAGGUAUCAGAAGUGCGAAUGCUGACAUAAGUAACGAUAAAGCGGGUGAAAAGCCCGCUCGCCGGAAGACCAAGGGUUCCUGUCCAACGUUAAUCGGGGCAGGGUGAGUCGACCCCUAAGGCGAGGCCGAAAGGCGUAGUCGAUGGGAAACAGGUUAAUAUUCCUGUACUUGGUGUUACUGCGAAGGGGGGACGGAGAAGGCUAUGUUAGCCGGGCGACGGUUGUCCCGGUUUAAGCAUGUAGGCUGGUUAUCCAGGCAAAUCCGGAUAAUCAAGGCUGAGGUGUGAUGACGAGGCACUACGGUGCUGAAGUAACAAAUGCCCUGCUUCCAGGAAAAGCCUCUAAGCAUCAGGUAACAUCAAAUCGUACCCCAAACCGACACAGGUGGUCAGGUAGAGAAUACCAAGGCGCUUGAGAGAACUCGGGUGAAGGAACUAGGCAAAAUGGUGCCGUAACUUCGGGAGAAGGCACGCUGGUGUGUAGGUGAAGCCCCUGCGGGUGGAGCUGAGACCAGUCGAAGAUACCAGCUGGCUGCAACUGUUUAUUAAAAACACAGCACUGUGCAAACACGAAAGUGGACGUAUACGGUGUGACGCCUGCCCGGUGCCGGAAGGUUAAUUGAUGGGGUUAUCCGUAAGGAGAAGCUCUUGAUCGAAGCCCCGGUAAACGGCGGCCGUAACUAUAACGGUCCUAAGGUAGCGAAAUUCCUUGUCGGGUAAGUUCCGACCUGCACGAAUGGCGUAAUGAUGGCCAGGCUGUCUCCACCCGAGACUCAGUGAAAUUGAACUCGCUGUGAAGAUGCAGUGUACCCGCGGCAAGACGGAAAGACCCCGUGAACCUUUACUAUAGCUUGACACUGAACAUUGAGCCUUGAUGUGUAGGAUAGGUGGGAGGCUUUGAAGCGUGGACGCCAGUCUGCGUGGAGCCAACCUUGAAAUACCACCCUUUAAUGUUUGAUGUUCUAACGUUGGCCCCUGACCGGGGUUGCGGACAGUGUCUGGUGGGUAGUUUGACUGGGGCGGUCUCCUCCCAAAGCGUAACGGAGGAGCACGAAGGUUAGCUAAUCCUGGUCGGACAUCAGGAGGUUAGUGCAAUGGCAUAAGCUAGCUUGACUGCGAGCGUGACGGCGCGAGCAGGUGCGAAAGCAGGUCAUAGUGAUCCGGUGGUUCUGAAUGGAAGGGCCAUCGCUCAACGGAUAAAAGGUACUCCGGGGAUAACAGGCUGAUACCGCCCAAGAGUUCAUAUCGACGGCGGUGUUUGGCACCUCGAUGUCGGCUCAUCACAUCCUGGGGCUGAAGUAGGUCCCAAGGGUAUGGCUGUUCGCCAUUUAAAGUGGUACGCGAGCUGGGUUUAGAACGUCGUGAGACAGUUCGGUCCCUAUCUGCCGUGGGCGCUGGAGAAUUGAGGGGGGCUGCUCCUAGUACGAGAGGACCGGAGUGGACGCAUCACUGGUGUUCGGGUUGUCAUGCCAAUGGCACUGCCCGGUAGCUAAAUGCGGAAGAGAUAAGUGCUGAAAGCAUCUAAGCACGAAACUUGCCCCGAGAUGAGUUCUCCCUGAGACUUUAAGUCUCCUGAAGGAACGUUAAAGACGAUGACGUUGAUAGGCCGGGUGUGUAAGCGCAGCGAUGCGUUGAGCUAACCGGUACUAAUGAACCGUGAGGCUUAACCUU
rnacentral:rRNA from 1 species